rnacentral:rRNA from 1 species
UACGUAGGGUGCGAGCGUUAAUCGGAAUUACUGGGCGUAAAGCGUGCGCAGGCGGCUUCGCAAGUCAGACGUGAAAUCCCCGGGCUUAACCUGGGAAUGGCGUUUGAAACUACGGAGCUGGAGUGUGGCAGAGGGAGGUAGAAUUCCACGUGUAGCAGUGAAAUGCGUAGAGAUGUGGAGGAAUACCGAUGGCGAAGGCAGCCCCCUGGGAUAACACUGACGCUCAUGCACGAAAGCGUGGGGAGCAAACAGG